rnacentral:rRNA from 1 species
AGGGGCAUCACGAGGUAGCAAUACUUUGGUGGCGACCGGCGCACGGGUGCGUAACGCGUAUGUAACCUACCUAUAACAGGGGCAUAACACUGAGAAAUUGGUACUAAUUCCCCAUAAUAUUCGGAGAGGCAUCUCUCCGGGUUGAAAACUCCGGUGGUUAUAGAUGGACAUGCGUUGUAUUAGCUAGUUGGUGAGGUAACGGCUCACCAAGGCAACGAUACAUAGGGGGACUGAGAGGUUAACCCCCCACACUGGUACUGAGACACGGACCAGACUCCUACGGGAGGCAGCAGUGAGGAAUAUUGGUCAAUGGACGCAAGUCUGAACCAGCCAUGCCGCGUGCAGGAAGACGGCUCUAUGAGUUGUAAACUGCUUUUGUACGAGGGUAAACUCACCUACGUGUAGGUGACUGAAAGUAUCGUACGAAUAAGGAUCGGCUAACUCCGUGCCAGCAGCCGCGGUAAUACAGAGGAUUCAAGCGUUAUCCGGAUUUAUUGGGUUUAAAGGGUGCGUAGGCGGUUUGAUAAGUUAGAGGUGAAAUCCCGGGGCUUAACUCCGGAACUGCCUCUAAUACUGUUAGACUAGAGAGUAGUUGCGGUAGGCGGAAUGUAUGGUGUAGCGGUGAAAUGCUUAGAGAUCAUACAGAACACCGAUUGCGAAGGCAGCUUACCAAACUAUAUCUGACGUUGAGGCACGAAAGCGUGGGGAGCAAAC